rnacentral:rRNA from 1 species
UACGGGGGGGGGUAAGCGUUGUUCGGAAUUACUGGGCGUAAAGGGCUCGUAGGCGGCCAACUAAGUCAGACGUGAAAUCCCUCAGCUUAACUGGGGGAACUGCGUCUGAUACUGGAUGGCUUGGAUUUGGGAGAGGAAUGCGGAAUUCCAGGUGUAGCGGUGAAAUGCGUAGAUAUCUGGAGGAACACCGGUGGCGAAGGCGGCAUUCUGGACCAAUAUUGACGCUGAGGAGCGAAAGCCAGGGGAGCAAACGGG